rnacentral:rRNA from 1 species
UUAUUGGGCGUAAGAGCUCGUAGGCGGUUUGUCGCGUCUGCCGUGAAAGUCCGGGGCUCAACUCCGGAUCUGCGGUGGGUACGGGCAGACUAGAGUGAUGUAGGGGAGACUGGAAUUCCUGGUGUAGCGGUGAAAUGCGCAGAUAUCAGGAGGAACACCGAUGGCGAAGGCAGGUCUCUGGGCAUUAACUGACGCUGAGGAGCGAAAGCAUGGGGAGCGAACAGGAUUAGAUACCCUGGUAGUCCAUGCCGUAAACGUUGGGCACUAGGUGUGGGGGACAUUCCACGUUUUCCGCGCCGUAGCUAACGCAUUAAGUGCCCCGCCUGGGGAGUACGGCCGCAAGGCUAAAACUCAAAGGAAUUGACGGGGGCCCGCACAAGCGGCGGAGCAUGCGGAUUAAUUCGAUGCAACGCGAAGAACCUUACCAAGGCUUGACAUGGACCGGACCGCCGCAGAAAUGUGGUUUCCCCUUUGGGGCCGGUUCACAGGUGGUGCAUGGUUGUCGUCAGCUCGUGUCGUGAGAUGUUGGGUUAAGUCCCGCAACGAGCGCAACCCUCGUUCUAUGUUGCCAGCGCGUGAUGGCGGGGACUCAUAGGAGACUGCCGGGGUCAACUCGGAGGAAGGUGGGGACGACGUCAAAUCAUCAUGCCCCUUAUGUCUUGGGCUUCACGCAUGCUACAAUGGCCGGUACAAAGGGUUGCGAUACUGUGAGGUGGAGCUAAUCCCAAAAAGCCGGUCUCAGUUCGGAUUGGGGUCUGCAACUCGACCCCAUGAAGUCGGAGUCGCUAGUAAUCGCAGAUCAGCAACGCUGCGGUGAAUACGUUCCCGGGCCUUGUACACACCGCCCGUCAAGUCACGAAAGUUGGUAACACCCGAAGCCGGUGGCCUAACCCCUUGUGGGAGGGAGCUGUCGAAAGUGGGACUGGCGAUUGGGACUAA